GUCUUUAUAUAGGUUUUACACUCUUGCAAACUCAUAAACCUAUAUCUAAUGGAUAGAAAUAACUUAAGAGGAAUGGAUGGUGAGGAUGAGUUGGUCUUGUUGUGAUCUGAGUGAUGUGUGCUGAUUGGAUGAGCUAAGCUGGCUCACUUUAAUUCAAACCAGGCUGUGCUGUGAUUGGCUCUCCUUAGGCUCCUUUGUAUCUGUCUACAGAUCAGUCUAGGUGCAUGGUCGUGGCUGCUCUUCCUUUACAGCAACAGCCAGCCUGUCCAUGCCCCAAAGUAACCAAUCAGCUCCACACAGCAUCUUCUUGAUUCCCUUUGACUAGAUUCAAACCUUGGUGCCUCACAUCCUGAAUAGUGAUCCAAAUAGUGAAUAGUCAACCUGAAUAGUGACUAGUGAUUCACUAUUCACUUUUACACCAACUUGCCCAAACUUCUCCAAUCUUACUGUGGUAACUCUCCAAAGUUACUGUGGUAACUUUGGAGUUACUGUCUGACCCAAAUCUUCUCUAAAUGGUGUCUAAGUCCCUCCUGGACUUAACCCUAUCUUUGCACACUCAUCAGACCACUUCUGAAGCCUUAAGACUCUCCCAAAGCCUUAACAUACAACCUCUGAAGAUCUUGCCAUGUCUUUGCACAAGCACCAACUCAACUCAUCACUUUUGCUUCUCCACUUCUUCUCUUCAAGUUAACACUCCCCCUCAAGCUUGACUUUAGCUGAUCCUAAGUCAAGCUUGGAACCUUGAAGAACUUCCUCAUUAAAAACCUCACCAAGGAAAACCCUUUGGGACAAAACCUUGAUGAGGGAAAAAGAGUAAAGUCUCCAAGGCCUAGGGAUUGGCCAGUGAGUCUUUGUGCCUUACCAACAAUGUAAGGGACACAAAGACUCUGGAUCAUGGCCUCUACAAUCAUCCCACGCCUUGUACUCUCCUUACUGCCUAAUCUUGGUCUCUCCCCCUUUCACCUAACCUCUUGUUAGGUUGAAGUGCUCGGACACACCAGAUCAGCCUCUUCUUGGAGAUACAACUUCUCUUACUGAGUCUUGGCUACUUCUUCUUCUUAUAGAGUCGCCACCUUGUUGUUUGAGCUACAUGAGGAUGCUUCAGCCACUCUCCAAUCACCUCAACACUUGAAGCCGCCUUGGAUAUUGCUUCUUCAUCCUUCAUCAUACUUCUCAACAGGUUGCUUCCUCUUCUAGAAUAACCACCAAGCUCUCUUGGAUCAUGUAAGCUUCAACACUCCCCCUCAAGCUUGAGACUCUCACAGGAACAAGCUUGAAUGGAUUGCUUCAUGAUCCUCACACACACACCAUUGCCGCUUCUCUUCUGAUCUUGCCAUCUUCAUGGAAUGCUUGUGGAAGCUUCAGCUAUCUCUCCAAUCACUUCACACUAGAAGCCGCCUUGAUAGAGUUGCCUUCAUCUUCUCACAGCCAAGAGUACUCUGUCUUAGUUUGAGUACUCUCUUGAAUAGACCCGCCACAGCCUAAGCCCGGAUGGCUCCUUCUUCAGAUGGUUGCAAUGGACUUCUUGGAUCGCUUGGAAGCUCACUAAACUCCCCUCCUCAAGCUUGGAUUGAGUAUAGGUCCAAGCUUGCAAGUGAGCUUCAGUGAGACUUCACACCAGUGGCACAUCACCACUUCUUUCUCAACUCUCCAUUGCUCCACACAAUGGGCAAAGUCUUCCUCUUUCAACUCGGAUGGAUGGUGAACCAAGAACACCUCUUGUGAACCUGAAACAUCACUCAAACUCCAGCAAAGAUAAGACACAAGUGCAUUGGGUCAACCCUUGAUGCAUCAUCAAGUUUGAACACCAAUGUCUUUAAGCAAUGCAACAGAUUAAACUAGACAUUUUCAAGUUCUAAUCUUUGCAAGCAAACUCUCUAAGCACUAGCAUGAUCCUAACAGAUUCAAUACAAGCUACUUAGGCAAUUUUUAAAGCUUCUUUACUCAGCAUUUAGACAUGAAUCUAAUGCUUCAAUGUAAGACAGCCAUUUGACAGUAUGCACUAGCCUUAAUCAGUUUUAAUUCAUGAAUGCAACAAUACAAUUCAUCACACAUUCAUUUAUAACUUAGGCUAAGCAUUACUAUCAUCACUUAACAUCAGACAAUGCAUUACUUUCAAUCUGUUUUCAGUUUAUGAGCUUCAAACAACACCAUUUCACAUUUAGCAAACUCAUUACUUAACAGGAGCAAGCAUUUUACUCUUUAAACACUAAACAAGCCUUUAAAGCAUCCUGGGACAGAUUCAACUAAUUAUAUUUAGCAAUCACACAUUAUCCUCAGGGUUUUCAACCAAUACACAUCACACUAACCAGGCACAGUCACAAGUUCAUUUUUAAGAGAGAUAGGAUUAGCUUACAAACAAGGAACUAGCGCUAGUUCCUUGAGCCUCCUUUGCAACCGGUCAUGCUCUUUUGAUGGACUGGAGAUGUUGAAUCGUCACCCAACAGCCCCUCCUGGUGUUCAUGACCGCUACUUGAACUUUCACCUCCAAAGGUUCCUCCUUUCACCAUCUCUUUAACUCGCCAGCUUCAGUAACAAGGGAAAUCACUCUUCUUGAAGUAUCUCCUCUUGGACAGAAGGAAAGGCACGCCUUGUAUAGACUGGAACAGGAAGGAACCGCCAUGAUAAACCUCCAUAAUAGCUUCAGACAUCUUCUUCUUGAAGAGAGAGAGCUGGCUGGACAGAUCUUCAUGGUUUGGCUUCAUGGUGAGACAGACUUGUGACUUGAAUGCGGAAGCUACAGCUCAGGUUCUGAUGAACCUGGCUCUGAUACCAUAUGAGAUUUGAGAGCUCUGGCUGUGUAUGUGUAUGAGAAGCCAUUAGAGGCAAAGAAUAAGGUCUUGAACUAGUUGAAUAAGAGGUCUGAUGAAACUAGUAUGAACUUGAAUCAGAAACAAAGAGACUUAGAGAGAUUAAGAGAUUAGAGACUAAGAAAGGGGUAGAUUAAGGGAAUCUGAUCAAGAACACACUUUUAUAUUUAUGAAGGAGAUGGGGAAAACCCCCAUACUCUCUUAAGAGAGUUACAAACGCCCAUGAGGUCUUUAUAUAGGUUUUACACUCUUGCAAACUCAUAAACCUAUAUCUAAUGGAUAGAAAUAACUUAAGAGGAAUGGAUGGUGAGGAUGAGUUGGUCUUGUUGUGAUCUGAGUGAUGUGUGCUGAUUGGAUGAGCUAAGCUGGCUCACUUUAAUUCAAACCAGGCUGUGCUGUGAUUGGCUCUCCUUAGGCUCCUUUGUAUCUGUCUACAGAUCAGUCUAGGUGCAUGGUCGUGGCUGCUCUUCCUUUACAGCAACAGCCAGCCUGUCCAUGCCCCAAAGUAACCAAUCAGCUCCACACAGCAUCUUCUUGAUUCCCUUUGACUAGAUUCAAACCUUGGUGCCUCACAUCCUGAAUAGUGAUCCAAAUAGUGAAUAGUCAACCUGAAUAGUGACUAGUGAUUCACUAUUCACUUUUACACCAACUUGCCCAAACUUCUCCAAUCUUACUGUGGUAACUCUCCAAAGUUACUGUGGUAACUUUGGAGUUACUGUCUGACCCAAAUCUUCUCUAAAUGGUGUCUAAGUCCCUCCUGGACUUAACCCUAUCUUUGCACACUCAUCAGACCACUUCUGAAGCCUUAAGACUCUCCCAAAGCCUUAACAUACAACCUCUGAAGAUCUUGCCAUGUCUUUGCACAAGCACCAACUCAACUCAUCACUUUUGCUUCUCCACUUCUUCUCUUCAAGUUAACAC
rnacentral:lncRNA from 1 species